rnacentral:lncRNA from 1 species
AGCACCUACGCUACUUAUGUAUCACAUCCAACAAAAUUGAGAAGCUCCCUGAAUCAAUAUGCCUCCUUUAUCACCUACAGACAUUGGUACUUGAUUGCCCGGAUCUUGCAGAGUUACCAGCUGGCCUAGGCAACCUUACUAACCUACGAUUCAUAUAUAUCAGAUCCAAAAAAAUUGAGAAGUUCCCUGAAUCAAUAUGCCUCCUUUAUCACUUACAGGCAUUGAUACUUGAUUGCUCGCAUCUUGCAGAGCUACCAGAUGGCCUAGAAAACCUUAUCAACCUCCGCCACCUACAUAGUCGGGACACUAGAAUUCUCUGCCUACCAGCUGGGAUCGGAAAACUAACAAAUCUUCAAAACUUGCUUGGAUGUUAUAAAGUGCAGGGUGGGAUAGGAGGAGUGCUGAAGAUCUUGGUGAACCUCCAAGCCCUCACCAUCUCAGGGCUCCGGAACGUGGUCAACAUAAAUGAUGCCAAGGAUGCUGGUCUUAAACAUAAGCAUAAACUUGAGAAAUUGUUUCUACAUUGGAAAGCUGUCGACUGCAAAAACAAGCUACAUCACAACAGAUUACUACAUCUAGAAGCGGAAAAUAAGGAUGUCCCAGCCGAUAAAAAAAGGGAGGAAGCCAUGCUCGAGUAUCUCCAACCUCACACCAACCUCAAAGAGUUGCUUAUAAACGGGUAUGGUGGUUCCAAGUUUCCAGAAUGGGUGGGAAAUCCUGUCUCUUUUGCAUCACUUCAAAAUAUCGAUAUAAUGGAUUGUGAAAACAUAAGAUCUUUUCCUCUAUACAUUCAUGACUCUCUUGGAAAUCUGGAUGCACCCAUAUCAAAAUCCAUGCUUCAUAGUGUGCACAUUUCUGGUUGCUGGCAACUCACAUCCAUAGCAGGGCUGCAUCAUCUCCACUCGCUUACAAAUCUGAACAUAUACAAUUGUCCCCAACUCCGGCUCUUAUCAGAGGAAGGACUACCAUCCAAUGUUUAUUCUUUGCAUAUAAAAAAUUGUCCUCAACUUUGGCUCUUAUUAGAGGAAGGACUACCAUCCAAUAUUGGAUUUUUGUGUAUUGAAGAGUGCCAGCAGUUGACAUCACUAUCAGGGAUGCAAAAACUUAUUUGUCUUGAAAUAUUAAUUAUAAAAGCUUGUUCUCAACUCCAG